rnacentral:rRNA from 1 species
AAUACGUAGGGGGCGAGCGUUGCCCGGAUUUACUGGGCGUAAAGCGCACGUAGGCGGCUCCGUAAGUCUGGUGUGAAAUCUCCCGGCUCAACCGGGAGGCUGCACUGGAUACUACGGGGCUCGAGGGCAGGAGAGGAGAUUGGAAUUCCCGGUGUAGCGGUGAAAUGCAUUGAUAUCGGGAGGAACACCAGUGGCGAAGGCGGAUCUCUGGCCUGCUUCUGACGCUGAGGUGCGAAAGCUGGGGGAGCGAAAGGGAUUAGAUACCCCUGUAGUCCCAGCCCUAAACGAUGGGCGCUAGGUGUUGGGGGCGAAGCCCUCAGUGCCGCAGCUAACGCAUUAAGCGCCCCGCCUGGGGAGUACGGCCGCAAGGUU